rnacentral:tRNA from 1 species
CCUGGUGGCUCAGACGGUAAAGCGUCUGCUUGCAAUGCGGGAGACCAGGGUUCGAUCCCUGGGUCGGGA